UACGUAGGGGGCAAGCGUUGUCCGGAAUCAUUGGGCGUAAAGAGCGCGUAGGCGGUCCGGUAAGUCCGCUCUGAAAGUCCGGGGCUCAACCCCGGGAGGCGGGCGGAUACUGUCGGGCUAGAGUCCGGAAGAGGCGAGUGGAAUUCCUGGUGUAGCGGUGAAAUGCGCAGAUAUCAGGAGGAACACCAAUGGCGAAGGCAGCUCGCUAGGACGGUACUGACGCUGAGGCGCGAAAGCGUGGGGAGCAAACAGG
rnacentral:rRNA from 1 species